rnacentral:lncRNA from 1 species
UAAAAAUAGAGAGGGAAAGAGAAGAUGUGGAAAGUGCAUCCAUUUGCUCUAAACAUUCCAAGGCAAUCAUUUGCUUUUCUCAUCUCCAUCCUCUUCCUCUAAGCCAGCAGAUGUAUGUGCUAGCUUGGCUCCCACACUGAACUCACAUUUUGAGAUCCACAUCCGGUCAGAGGAACAAAGUUCAAUGUCAUUGUUCUCUGGUAAGUAUUGUGUAAGAUUUUCUCUUAAUCCUUGAUGAUCUGUCAGUAGCUAGAUUCCUGCCCUUGCAUCAAUAACUACUUCAUAAGACUCAUUCUUCACCUUCACUGACCUUCAACUCUACACUCUACCUCUGCCUCACCCUUGGUUCCCACUCUGCACUUCCUCCCAGGCAGUCUGCCACCUGGCUUCUCUAACUCCUGCCUUGAGCCAAAUCCCGACAGGACUUGUUACUUUCACUUGCUCUUUUUUCCUCCCAUUUUAGCAGCCAAGGAUGGGAAUUACACAGCGAAAUGCAGGCUAAUCAGCUAAAUCUAGAUUAAAUAUGCUAGUCCUUGGGGACCUUGAGCUGAAUUAAUGGAAACCGAGGUUUUUAAUGUUCCAGACUAAUUUUGGAAGCUCACUUCCAGCAGAGGCAAACUUGAGGCUGUCCAAAGGGAGCAGAUGGCAAGGCUUUCUCCAGGUGCACCAACCUUUGAAACAGCCCUCGGCAAAACCAUGAGGAAGGAAUGCUCUUCCCUUAGAGAUCCUCGUGGUGAAUUCCCUCAUUUCCUUCAAGUCUGCUCAAAUGUUACUUCUCAAACAGGGAGGAGGCUCCAUGAUCUUACCUUCCCAAUUAUGAAGUAAGCAACGAUGACCUCUUAAACUCGUGAAUCUAACAGUGGUUGGGCAUAGAUAAUUGCUGUGAAAUACUUGAUGACUGAUUAGCUUUGAUAAAGAAUUCUGAGAUAAUUUUUAUGCUGUUGUUACUAAUCCCACCCUCAGCAUUCUUUCAAAAAUGAGAUUAUUUGUCUUUUUCUUCAUGGCCUUGGUGGAAAUAUAAAUUUCUUUUUAACCCUAAAAUUGUCUUGGACUUAUAACUUGAGAUAUCCUAUGAGAAACAGAUUAAUUAUGCCUGCUAAUUUUGGAACAAACUAUCAGCCUAAUAAUGUCUUUCUAGUUCCAUCUUCCAUCAUUUGAAAUUCCAGUAAAGUAAUACUUGUUGAGUACUAACAUUUAUAUGUAUUUUACGUCAAUGAUCUGAACGUA